UCGAUUAGAUACCCGUGUAGUCCUAGCCGUAAACGAUACUCGCUAGGUGUCGGCCGCGGUGCGACCGUUGUCGGUGCCGUAGGGAAGCCGUGAAGCGAGCCACCUGGGAAGUACGGCCGCAAGGCUGAAACUUAAAGGAAUUGGCGGGGGAGCACAACAACGGGUGGAGCCUGCGGUUUAAUUGGACUCAACGCCGGACAACUCACCGGGGACGACAGCAAAAUGUAGGCCAGGCUGAAGACCUUGCCUGAAUCGCUGAGAGGAGGUGCAUGGCA
rnacentral:rRNA from 1 species